rnacentral:rRNA from 1 species
AUACGUAGGUGACAAGCGUUAUCCGGAUUUACAGGGCGUAAAGGGCGUGUAGGCGGUCUUGCAAGUCAGAAGUGAAAUUCCUGAGCUCAACUCGGGCGCUGCUUCUGAAACUGCAGGACUUGAGUGCUGGAGGGGAUAGCGAAAUUCCUAGUGGAGCGGUAAAAUGCGCAGUUAUUAGGAAGAACACCGGUGGCGAGGGCGGGUUGCUGGAUAGAGACAGACGCUGAGGCGUGUAAGCGUGGGUGGCAACCAGGAUUAGAUACCCUGGGUGGCCACGCCGUAAACGAUGAAUACUAGGUGGAGGGGGUAUCGACUCCCUCUGUGCCGCAGUUAACACAAUAAGUAUUCCGCCUGGGGAGUACGGCCGCAAGGUUGAAACUCAAAGGAAUUGACGGGG